UACGUAGGGUGCGAGCGUUGUCCGGAAUUAUUGGGCGUAAAGGGCUCGUAGGCGGUCUGUCGCGUCGGGGGUGAAAACUCAGGGCUUAACCCUGAGCCUGCUUCCGAUACGGGCAGACUAGAGGUAUGCAGGGGAGAACGGAAUUCCUGGUGUAGCGGUGAAAUGCGCAGAUAUCAGGAGGAACACCGGUGGCGAAGGCGGUUCUCUGGGCAUUACCGACGCUGAGGAGCGAAAGUGUGGGGAGCGAACAGG
rnacentral:rRNA from 1 species